rnacentral:rRNA from 1 species
ACUCCUACGGGAGGCAGCAGUGGGGAAUUUUGGACAAUGGGCGAAAGCCUGAUCCAGCAAUGCCGCGUGUGUGAAGAAGGCCUUCGGGUUGUAAAGCACUUUUGUCCGGAAAGAAAUCCUUGGCUCUAAUACAGUCGGGGGAUGACGGUACCGGAAGAAUAAGCACCGGCUAACUACGUGCCAGCAGCCGCGGUAAUACGUAGGGUGCGAGCGUUAAUCGGAAUUACUGGGCGUAAAGCGUGCGCAGGCGGUUUGCUAAGACCGAUGUGAAAUCCCCGGGCUCAACCUGGGAACUGCAUUGGUGACUGGCAGGCUAGAGUAUGGCAGAGGGGGGUAGAAUUCCACGUGUAGCAGUGAAAUGCGUAGAGAUGUGGAGGAAUACCGAUGGCGAAGGCAGCCCCCUGGGCCAAUACUGACGCUCAUGCACGAAAGCGUGGGGAGCAAACAGGAUUAGAUACCCUAGUAGUCC